ensembl:lncRNA
CUUUGGCUGGUAAGAAAAAGAAGAGGUGUAAAGAUACUCUCCAAGAUGCCAGAACCAACUGAAGUGAUGAUAACCACGCCAUUUUACCAGCAACAGCAGAAUGAAAUCUCCAAGUUCCUGAAGAUCAAGCCACUGGCUUUGGGGAUUUUGGAAAUAUUGAUAGCCUUAUUGAAACUCGGUUUGACAAUCUGGAAUAAGAGUUUUUUCGUUAUCUGGUCACCAUUCAUUUACAUCGUAAUUGGAGCUAUAACAGUCUCGGCUGCACACACAUGUAAACCGCGUCUGGUCAAAUCCUCACAAAUGCUCAGCUAUGUAAAUGUUGCAGUAGUUUCUUUCUCCCUCCGCACUCACUUUAUUUUAGUUGGGGUUACUCCAGAUGUGUCCUCCUAUGUCCCUGUCAUCUGUGAUAUUCUGAUCUUCAUCUUCUCUCUUGCUGUUGCUGUAACCGCCUGUUCCUGUUGCUGCAGACCAAAGUCAACCCCUGUCAUAAUCAGUUAUGAGACCACAGAUUUGCCUGCCAACCACAUCAUGCAGAUGGGCCAGCCGGACUCCUCUGCAGUGGCCCAGCCGGUUAGUUCAGCCAUGUACGUCCUGCCAGCAGCACACGGCUCAGUCCCACCUGUGCCUCUGCCAAAUUACAGUCACGUCCCCAGUGCAUCUCCACCAAUGUACAGUCCAGUACCAACUACACCUCCAUCCAGCUACGACAAAGUCUCAGAUGCACUUCCACCAAACUACUCUCCAGUCCCAAGUACCCCUCUACCAGCAUAUGAGGGGAGAAGUUUUUUUUCCUACUAG